rnacentral:rRNA from 1 species
GAAGGCCCCAAGCGUUGUCCGGAUUUAUUGGGCGUAAAGAGUUCAACGGGUGGUCAAGAAAGUCAGUGGGUCAAAUCUCAGGGCUCAACCCUGAGGCCGCCACUGAAACUUCUCGACUUGAGGACAGGAGAGGCAGACGGAACUACCGGUGUAGUAGUAAAAUGCGUUAAUAUCGGUAGGAACACCAAUUGCGAAGGCAGUCUGCUAGAAUGUAUCUGACACUUAAGAACGAAAGCGUGGGUAGCGAAUGGGAUUAGAUACCCCAGUAGUCCACGCCGUAAACGCUGGAUACUAGGUAUUGGGAGUUUCGACCCUCUCAGUACCGUCUGAAAGCUAACGCGUUAAGUAUCCCGCCUGGGGAGUACGGCCGCAAGGCUA